UGGGGAAUAUUGCACAAUGGGCGGAAGCCUGAUGCAGCGACGCCGCGUGGGGGAUGAAGGCCUUCGGGUUGUAAACUCCUUUCGACAGGGACGAAGCUUUUGUGACGGUACCUGUAUAAGAAGCACCGGCUAACUACGUGCCAGCAGCCGCGGUAAUACGUAGGGUGCGAGCGUUGUCCGGAAUUACUGGGCGUAAAGAGCUCGUAGGUGGUUUGUCGCGUCGUCUGUGAAAUUCCGGGGCUUAACUCCGGGCGUGCAGGCGAUACGGGCUGACUUGAGUACUGUAGGGGUGACUGGAAUUCCUGGUGUAGCGGUGAAAUGCGCAGAUAUCAGGAGGAACACCGAUGGCGAAGGCAGGUCUCUGAGCAGUAACUGACGCUGAGGAGCGAAAGCAUGGGUAGCGAACAGG
rnacentral:rRNA from 1 species